CAACAAGGAACCCAGACCUA
rnacentral:misc_RNA from 1 species